CCUACGGGAUGCAGCAGUCGAGAAUCAUUCACAAUGGGGGAAACCCUGAUGGUGCGACGCCGCGUGCGGGACGAAGGCCCUCGGGUUGUAAACCGCUUUCAGCAGGGAAGAUCCAAGACGGUACCUGCAGAAGAAGCUCCGGCUAACUACGUGCGAGCAGCCGAGGUAAUACGUAGGGGGCGAGCGUUAUCCGGAUGCUUGGGGCGUAAAGCGCGCGUAGGCGGCCGCCUAGGCGGGACCUCUAACCCCGGGGCUCAACCCCGGGCCGGGUCCCGGACUGGGCGGCUCGAGUGCGGUGGAGGAGGGCGGAAUUCGCGGUGUAGCGGUGGAAUGCGCAGAUAUCGGGAAGAACACCGAUGGCGAAGGCAGCUCUCUGGGCCGUCACUGACGCUGAGGCGCGAAAGCUGGGGGAGCGAACAGGAUUAGAUACCCUGGUAGUC
rnacentral:rRNA from 1 species